rnacentral:rRNA from 1 species
UACGAAGGGGGCUAGCGUUGUUCGGAUUUACUGGGCGUAAAGCGCACGUAGGCGGAUCGUUAAGUCGGGGGUGAAAUCCUGGAGCUCAACUCCAGAACUGCCUUCGAUACUGGCGAUCUUGAGUCCGGAAGAGGUGAGUGGAACUCCUAGUGUAGAGGUGGAAUUCGUAGAUAUUAGGAAGAACACCAGUGGCGAAGGCGGCUCACUGGUCCGGUACUGACGGCUGAGGUGCGAAAGCGUGGGGG